GUCAAUUACCAGUCGCUGGCUGUGGACCCUGAAUGAGUCCCUGCUCUGUUGGUCAAUUCACAGGAACAGUGUACACCAGCCGUGGGAUCCUGUGAACCUCAGCUCAGUAUCCAAAGAGCUGUUGUGAGCAUCUUUGGUUUAUAGUGUGAAGAGCUAUCAGAUCCUUGUUGGUCCCUCCUCACCAGGGUCACAUUGCACCAGUCAACGCGGAAGUGGGGUGCCAAGGUGUCAUAGCAAGACAGAAGUGGAGGCUGGCCCUGGGCACAGCGGGCGUGGCUAUCGGGGGAUGCCACCAUCUUCAGGCAAGUAGAGAAAGGAAGUCCUCUAGGGUUGCACACCUACCCUUCUUUUCGGCCCUCAAUGGGAAGGGGGACACGGCCCCCACGGUCCAAGGCAGAAGUGAUGUUGAGCAGCUGAAGCUCUCCGGGCUCCCAGAGUCCCCCCAAGGCUGAGAGGAAGCGGCUGGCAGGUGUUGAGGGCAGCACCUCCUCCACAUCGUGGCUGCGCACCAGGAACUCGGCUUGGUAUGGCAGCAGGGGGCCUGGGAAGGCCAGGUGGACACCUCAGGCUGCACCCAGCCCCAGCUCUGCCCCGCAAAGCCUCCCCGAAGCUCCUCCCUACAUCCCUGCACACCCCUUCAGGCCGCUCAAUGCCCCAUCCAUCACAGACCCCAACAAGCCAAGGCCCAAUAGUCUCUGCAACGCAGCGGGUAACAGAACUCCAGAGCCUGGAAUCCCAGCCCAGCACCCAUUCCCUGAGAGCCUUGUCCCCACUUUCCAAGAUGCCCUGCUCCACUCCUCUCCAAGCCUCUCCUGUCCACAGCCCCCUCCCCCUCCGGGAGAGAUUCCCCAAGACUGGCAUUGGUGGGGAAGGGAUGGGGCACAGCUAGAGGUACCUUCUGGGUCCCCAAUCUCCAGCACCAGCCUCUGCGGAGUGGUAUCAAAGCUGUCCCGAUUGUAGGCUGUGACCUGGGGGAUGGGAAAGACAUCUGAGAAGUGGGUUAGGGGAGAAAGGUGGCACAGCGGGGGCCUGGCAGGAGAGGACUCAGAUACCAAAUUAGAGGUAUGUAAAUUAUAUGUAAAUGACUGUGAAUGAACACCCAAUCCCAAUUCAUAGGGCUGCUCCUAGGAGGCCACUCUGGCCCACCCCUGUGAUUUUCUCAGGGUCCCUGACGGCACCUCAAUGACCUGGCGCCCACGAUCUUCUGGGGUGGCAGAGCCGUAGAGGAAGCCAGGGUGGUGGGGGCUGCGCUGGGUGUAGCGGAGCCACCGGGGCAGGUCUGGGUGUCCCUGGAGGUGGGCCUGGUAGGUGAUGCGGACAGCGGGUGGGACAGCUGGUGGAAGCGAGGAGAGGGGAUUCGAGUCACAGCAGGAGCCCUGCGGGGUACACCCCAGCCCGCCCGCCUGGGUGCCUGUCAGGCCGCUCACCGACAUGCUCAGGAAGGCUCAGAAACGUCUCAUGGUCCAAGGGAAGAAGAAGGCCUGCCCUAGAGGCCAGUAGGAGCUGAGCAAAAGGAAUCCUAAGUCCAAGAGAGAAGCAGAGGACCUGGCCGCCAGCUCCACCCUCCCUCCCAGGGCCAAAUUUAGCAUGGGCUUAGAAGCUGCGGCCC
rnacentral:lncRNA from 1 species